UGGGGAAUUUUGCACAAUGGGCGCAAGCCUGAUGCAGCGACGCCGCGUGAGGGAUGAAGGCCUUCGGGUUGUAAACCUUUUUCGCUCAUGGUCAAGCCGCAGCUUUGGGUUGUGGUGAGGGUAGUGGGUAAAGAAGCGCCGGCUAACUACGUGCCAGCAGCCGCGGUAAUACGUAGGGCGCGAGCGUUGUCCGGAAUUAUUGGGCGUAAAGGGCUUGUAGGCGGUUGGCGGCGUCUGCCGUGAAAUCCUCUGGCUUAACUGGUGGCGUGCGGUGGGUACGGGUUGACUUGAGUGCGGUAGGGGAGACUGGAAUUCCUGGUGUAGCGGUGGAAUGCGCAGAUAUCAGGAGGAACACCGGUGGCGAAGGCGGGUCUCUGGGCCGUUACUGACGCUGAGGAGCGAAAGCGUGGGGAGCGAACAGG
rnacentral:rRNA from 1 species